rnacentral:rRNA from 14 species
UCGUACUAGAUGUCUAACCUAGGUCCGUUAUCCGGAUCAGGGACAGUGCCUGAUGGGUAGUUUAACUGGGGCGGUUGCCUCCUAAAAUGUAACGGAGGCGCUCAAAGGUUCCCUCAGCCUGGUUGGUAAUCAGGUUUCGAGUGUAAGUGCACAAGGGAGCUUGACUGCGAGAGAGACAUCUCAAGCAGGGACGAAAGUCGGAACUAGUGACCCGGCGGUGGCUUGUGGAAGCGCCGUCGCUCAACGGAUAAAAGGUACCCCGGGGAUAACAGGCUGAUCUUGCCCAAGAGUCCAUAUCGACGGCG